rnacentral:lncRNA from 1 species
CGGCACCCAUUGAUUUUGCACCUUCUAACAUCUCGGGUUGAGAAUUCUCGUCACACUUUUUUUUUCAUUCACAAAUUUUUUUUUGUUAUGGAUUCCUUGUCGAUUCUUCCCCUCGUUCUUUUUUUCUUGGGCUUGGCUACAUACCAAGCGUGGAUCCAUAAAAUUCCAAAAUUUUUAGAAAGUAGCUACUGUUGGCCCCAUUUAGAAUGAGAUCACAACAGAUUUGAUAGAGCCCAUCAAUUUGCUCUUUUAAGGGCUCUUCAAAAACCAAAUGAUUUUCUAUGGGUAUGUAAAUGGAUACUGAAUAUGACGACUAUUGGUGAUGCUGAUAUGUACCAUCUGAAUAUGAAUUGGAUCUUAAUGGCUGUGUGUACAUUCUGAUAUCUGUAAUUUACAUUUGCAUUGGGUGGGAAUUGUGAAAAGGAGAAAGUAAUCCGUUCUGAUUCAGUGGCUUGGCUACAAUCUAGAUGUUAAUCUGGCACUUUAGUGCAACUUGAUCUAACAGCUGGUCUGCAACUACUUGAAUAUGUCAGACCGAAACUAUAUGGUGUGCAAGGCUGGAGGGGUUUUAAACUCCCUUAUCAGUGUGUUGGGGUGAUCGAAAAUAGUGUGUAGCGGAUGUGGGUAGGAAUCACUGUAUUUAUUUCUGAUCUAUUCUAUAUCUGAAUUAGAUUUGUACUGACAUUCAAUUGAUGUGUAACAUUAUACUGGAGAGUCUCUAAUUCUGAAUAGGCUUUGACUUGGGAAUUUAUUUUUAUACUAUGCUUCUAGUUAAUUCUAUAAUGGUUAUACACUGAGUUCUCUACUCAUUUUGUUGUUGACUGAAUUUCAGGUAACUCACAAUCCUAAUCGGGUCGGCGUAUAUGCCCCUGUAUAUGCCAAAAGGGGCACUUGGGCGAUUACUAAUUCGCCAAUUGUACUUAUCAAAGACUAUGCCAAACCUAGUGCCCACCAGAAUCGGGGCAUUACAGGCUUGUUCAAAGAAUUCUCAUACUUAGCUAAAUUUUAUACUUAACACACACUCAAAACUUACUCUAUAUGCCUUACUUCCAUAAACAUCACUUGAAAAAUAAGGAUUCACUAGGUGGGAUUUUAUAAUCACCUUAACGAAGACCUCUAUGUGGCCUAAACUCAUUUGUAAGCCCACCAUUCUGUAGAAUCUGCAUAGAACUCGAGCUCACACCGAUCAACUUUAAUCGCUAACCAACCUUUAUUUCCAGAUUUAUUACGCAUAAAGUGAAUUAUCUCUUACGCUAUAAUAAUAUUAUCCGUGAUACAUCGUCUUGGGACAAAACUCGAUUGAUUAGAGAGCAUUCAAUUAGGCAUGUAAGGUUUCAGUUGGUUCACAAUCACAUUAGAAACAAUUUUAUAUAGCACUGUACACAAACUGACUGGCUGAAUUUGAUGAAUAUAUUUUGGUUUCUCUUUUUUUGGGAUAAGUACAAGCAGAGUUUUAUUGAUCCACCCUUCGAACUUGGUACCACCCAUAAUGCUUCUAACAAAGAAAAUAUACUAAAUUAUUAGUUUUAAUUCUACUAAAAUACUACUAGAAACACAUCCUAAGUUAGUAGAGUUGGAAUGGAAAGUUUCGUAGGGGUGACGAGACAUGAUGAGCAGUUUCUAACCUGAUUUAUUCUUGCGACUAGGCAUUCAUUCCUUAAUUUAGUUUUUUCCUCGUUGGUUGUAAAGUUUCCAAAUUCUUCAUAUGUUUCCCAAUCUUAUUCCAUAGGUUUUCUUCCUUGAUGUUGAGUCCAUAGAACCUUACAUUGCAAAGCUUGUGUUUUGACAACUCCUUUAGUCAUUCCUCCGAAAUAAUGUUUUACUCUUUCACCAUUGAUGAGAAAAGAUUGUCCCUCAUUUUCAAUGAGUUUUAUUGCAACUUGAGGUGUUACUUGAUUUAUAAUGUAUGGUCUUGUCCAUCUUGAUUUAAUUUUUCCAGAAAAUAAUGUUAAUCUUAAAUUGAACAAGAGUACUUUCUAUCCCAGUAAGAACUCUCAUUUUUUUAUUCUAGCAUUAGGCUAAACUUUACUCCUUUCUUUAUAUAGCUUUGCAAUUUCAUAGGCCAUAAAUCAAAAUUCUUUUAAUUCUUACAACUGGAAUAAUCUCUCUUUCUUAACCAGUUCAGGAUCUAAAUUCAAUUCAUUUAUUGCGCAAUAUGCUUUCUUUUCCACCUCAAUUAACAAAUGGCAGUUUUUCCGUACACCAACUUGUAAUGAGACAUGCCUAAAGGGUUUUUUACACUGUUCUAUAAUCCCAUAGUGCAUCAUCUAAUCUUAGCUACCAAUCUUUUCUUUUCGAAUUGAUGUUUUUUCCAAUACUUGUUAAUCUCUCGACUAGACACCUCUACUUGUCCAUUAGCCUGAAGAUGGUAUGUUGUAGUUAUUUCGUGUCUUACACUGUAAUUGGCUAAGACAAUUUUAAAUUGCUUGUUGCAGAAGUGUGAUCCUUUAUCACUUACAAGAGCACGAGGUGUUCCAGAUCUUGCAAAAAUAUUUUUUCUUAAGAAUUUGACCACUGACUUCGUAUCUUUUAUAGCUAGUGUUGUUGUCUCAACCCAUUUAAAAACGUAGUCUACAACUAACAAGAUGUACUGAUUUCUAAGGGAAAUUGGGAAAGGUCCCACAAAAUCAAUUUCCCAAAGGUCAAAUACUUCUACUUCUAGGAUUUCUGUCUGUGGCAUUUCAUCCUUUUUAGAUAUACUUCCGGUCCUUUGACAUCUAUCACACCCCUGCAUAAAUUCGCCAGCAUCUCUAUUUAUAGUUCGUCAAUAAAAUCCUGAUUGUAAUAUUUCCUAGGCUGUUCUCUUUCCUCCCAAAUUUCCACCACAUGAUGAGGUAUGGCAUUCUUGUAAGAUGUCAUUUAUCUCUUCCUCAACCACGCAUCUUCGAACUAAUUGAUUGGCGCAUUGCUAAAAAAUAUAUGAUUCUUUCCAAAUAAAUUUUUUCGACUCAUGCAUGAUUCUUUUCUUUUAUUGCCAUGAUCGUUUAUUAGAAAAAAAUCAUUUGGCAAUAUAAUUCACAUAAUCCGCGUACCAUGGUAUCUUAUUGUCCUUAUACCUUUCUUGAUGCAUUGCUACCCUGAAUAGCUACUCAUCAAUAAAGGUUUCUUUUAUUUCUUCAGAAUUUUAACUUUCGUCUCAUUUUCUAUUCUAGAAAGAUGAUCUGUAAUUAGAUUUUUCGUUUCUUUACGAUCCAGUAUGCACAGAUCAAUCUCUUGAAGCAAUAACACCCACCUCAUUAAUCUAGCCUUUAUUUCCUUUUUUUUCAUAAGAUAUUUCAAUGUAGAGUGAUCAGUGUAGACAUAAACACUAUUUGCCAUUAAAUAAGGAUGAAAUUUUUCGCAUGCAAACACAAUAGUAAGAAUUUCUUUUUCAAUAGUAGUGUAAUUACAUUAUGUUGAAUUCAAGGUCUCACUUGCAUAAUGAAUGGUGCAAAAUAUGUUGUUCCUUUUCUACUCCAGUACUACUCCUACAGCAUAAUCAUUAGCAUCGCACAUUAUAAAAAAAGGAUUCGACCAAUCAGGGGUAAUAAUAAUAGGUGCAAAAAUAAGUUUUUAUUUUAUUACCUCAAAAUCUUAGAUGCACUCUUGAUUAAAUAUGAAAGGUAUUUCCUUCUAAAGAAGUUGAUUCAACGAUUUGGAUAUGUGAUGACAGUCUUUUAUAAACUACUUAUAAAACCCAGCAUGUCCUAAGAAAUUUAGUACCCUUCGGAUCGUCGUGGGAUUAGGAAGGUUCUUUAUGACUUCAAUUUUUUCUUUGUCCACUUCCAACCGUUUUCUUGAUAUUUGAUGUCUUAAAACCAAUCCUACUUUUACCAUAAAAUAGAAUUUUUUCCUAAUUGAGCAUCAAGUUGGUUUCUUCACAUCUUUUCAAUACUUUCUCAAGGUUAUCCAAACAUUCCCGAAAGGAAUCCCAUAUACCAAAAAAUCAUCCAUGAAUACAUCGAGACCUUAUUGCAGCAUAUUGGCAAAAAUAGAAGUCAUACAUCUCAUAAAUAUUAUUAGGGCAAUACAUUCAAAUCAUAUUGAUUAUCUCAAAUAAACAUAGAGUACUUCAUAAAUGUAUAAUUAUUUCUCAAUUUUAACAAAAAAUCAUCCAAACAUAGUCAAUUCAAUUUAUGAUUAACAAAUACGUCAUUUCUCAGAUCAUAUACGGGCUUAUGUAUGCUCCAAUACCAUCCAGAAUUUAACUAGGAUUAAUUUGCAAUAUUUCCAAAAUUUUAGUUUGAUUAUAAACCAAAAUACUUCUAAGCUCAAUUUAAUCAUCAUAAAUCAAUAGUUAAUCACUAUUCAUAGAAUAUAUAUGAAAACGAAACUUAAAUCGGGUCCAUAGGACCUUAAAAAUAGUUUGGAAACAAACAAGGACUAAUCUAAAACAAAACAAAAAAAUAUGGUAAAAUUUGAAAUCAGGGGUCACACGACCGUGUGACAGAGCCCAAGCCGUGUGGGUCAGGAACAUGGUUGUGUGGCAAAACCGUGUACAAUUCAAAGUUAGGGGCACAUGGUCGUAUCUUCAGGCCAUGUAAUAGCUUGAUGUCGUGUGGGAAAACGUGCACCUAAAAAUCAAUAAGGCACACGACCAUAUGAAGAAGCCGUCUGUGGCACAUGAUUGUGUGGUAGACCGUGUCCUAGGCUGUGUGCAACCAAAAUGACUUCAAAAAUAAGUAAUUUCAAACAAAAUUUCUUAGGUAUCAAACCCAACCAUUUGCAACCAUUUCCACCUAUUCAAAAACACAUCCAUACAUAUCAAAAACAUACUAAAAACAUUCAACCUAAGUGCUUAAUCAAUGUACCAUCAUUGGUACCACAAUUCAAACAUUUAGAAUCCAAAUUAUAUACAUCAUUUCCCAAAACACAAAACAUGUAUCUAUCAAGCAUCUCAUAACCUUAAACCAUAAUAAAAACCAAACUUGGAAAUGUAUAAAUCUUACCACUUAUAUACAUAUGGUUAAAGCUUACCAAAAGAGCCAAAUAAACACAACCACAACAUCACAUAACAAAGCAUGGAACAACAUGUCUAAUAACAAGUGAAUUUGAACUCCUAGUACAUGUCACUUAUAACCUAAAUCAAAGUAAUCACAAUUUAUACCGAGUCGAUUAAGGGAUAGUGCGAGCUUCGACUUGAACUUCCAACUGAAAUAAACUUCCAAUGAUCUACAAGAAAAACAACACAAUGAAUGUAAGCAAAUCUUUGCUUAGCAAGUUUGUGUAAACUCAAACUUUAACUUUAACUUACCGUAAAAGUUGUAACUUAAACAUUUUGCAAUUAAAAUUUAUAAGCAAUGUCAUGAGUUCAUUAUUAACCUAUACAUAUCACAAGUCUCACAAGGUUAGUGAGUUCACAUAUACAAAACUUAUAACUUUAUCAUGUCAUAAAGCAUGUACUAGUAAACACAUUGGAUAUACCAUUCAUUCAACAUUUAUUCAUUUACCAAUUCACAUUUCCAUUUUAAGUGUUCAUUUCAAAUGUCCCUUCUUACAUACCUAUUCAUAUAAACAUUUCAUAUAACACUUCAUAUAAUUAUUUUCAUAUUGUCACUUCAUAUAGUUUUUUCGUUUAUAUGUUUCCGUAUAACUGAUUCAUAUAACCAUUUCGUAUAUCUAUUUCUAUAUAACCAAUUCUUAUAAUCAUUUCACAUAACCAAUUCGUAUAACCAAUUCAUAUAACCAUUUUGUAUAGCCAUUUCAAAGUGUUAACCUUAACACAACAUGAUUCAACAAUUCUAAGUCAGUAAACAACAAUAUAGGGAUAUUCAGAAUUCGUAUUUUUAUCCAUUUUAAUGAAACAAUUUAACAUUACAAGUCCGGGAAAUAGAUGAUGCUUGUAUGAGCUAAUCAGAUACAUAAAUAUAUGUGUUAGGUUACCCGUCCAGACUAAACCUUUAAAACAACCGGGCUAAACCUUUAAAACAACAAGAAUUACUAGUCCAGGCAAAAUUUAUGUCACAUGCAUAUCCGAGUCUGCAAAAAAUGUUAGAGCUUGGUCCAGAACGAGAAUCAUAUAGAAACCUUGUGUAUGAGACAUUUACUUAGUCCAUCAGAAUUAUCUUAGAAUUUGAUUUAUUAUCACGUAGUCUGAUUUCCAAUUUCAGCAGUUUAUACACAAUUAAUUAACAACAUUUAAUAUUCAAUUUUAAUUUGAAAAAUAAUAUGAACUUACCUAGACAAAAACGAUUGUGAAAACAAGGCUCACAAUUAAUCCAUUAAUUUAGCUUUUCCACGAUUCGAGUUUGAUUAUUUUGUUCCUUGAUCUAAAUAAUAUUUUUUCUUUCAAUUAAUUCAUUCAAACAAGGCUGACCCUUAAUCAUCAUUUUACACUUUUACAAUGAACUUUUACUUUUAAUUCAAUUUAGUCCCUAAACCCGAAACAUUCAAUUUAAUCAUAAAUUAAUCCAAAAAAGGCCAACCGAAUUUUGUAUAAUUCCCAUACAUCCCAUAUUCAUCAUAUUUUUACAAGAAUUUCAUAUAACUUUACUAUUUUAGCAAUUUAAUCCUUUAACAUAAAAAUUAAUCAAAAUCACUUUACAAUAUUGUUCUAUUUAAUUAUCAAGCUUAUAAAACUAUCAUAAAACUUCAAAAAAAUCACCAUUUCAUCAAUGGCAUAAUUUAAAACAUUUAAUAGUUUUACAAAUUAGCCCUUAAGUUAGCUAGAUUAAGCUAGAACAAUAUCAAAAACAUAAAAAUCACUAAAAACAUAAUUGAAAAAGCUUACCAUGCAUGAAUUAUGAACUUGGUUGAAUUUCAAGCAUUCAAAAAUGGGGUUUUAUGGCUUUAUUUCCUUCAAUUUCAGUCAAUAGAGAAAGAUGAUAGCAUUUUUACAUUUUAUUUUCUUAAACCAAAUAUUAAAUUACAAAAUUAGCCUUUUUUAACUAAAUAUUACAAUCAUGCAAUGGGCAAACUGUCUAUUAUUAAUAAUUAUGGCUAAAUUACCAUAUAAAGCCAUUCAAAUAUGUUUCUAUGCUCAAUUAACCCAUAAUAAUCAAUAGUGAUUAGCUUUUGCAACUUUCAUGAUUUAGUCCUUUUUUCUUUAAUUAACUAUCAAAUCACCAAAAUUUCCUAACCCAAUUUUAAUAUACCUAUAUUGUAACUUCGUAAAUAUUUAAUAAAAAUAUUUGCGGGCUCGGUUUAUAGAAACAAGGUCCUAGUACCUCAUUUUCCAAAACCACUUGAUUGUUGGGACAAUCACUUGUACUUAACUAUUCAUUCAAUUUGCAAAAAUUAUUAAACCAACAUUCAAUAUAGUAUCAUAAUUGAUUUGUAAAUAUUAAAUAAUAAUAUUAGGAACUCACUCAUCGGAUUUGUGAUCUUGAAACCAUUAUUUUCAAAGCCACAGAAAAACGGAUUGUUACAACCCAUCAUAGAAAUGUUGUAGUUGUAUUGCAAAGCUAACACCUCCUCCCAAUUUUGAUCGGAUAAUAAUUUUAAACCUUUCCCAUGCCUAUCCCAAUGUUUCAACAACAUCUUGCUUGAAUUUAAAUAACUUUUCAUAUGUGUUGUUUACAUGGGUCAUAGGCACAACUCAACGUAAGAAUAAUUGCAUAAAUUUAGCCCAGGUUGUAAUCAUAUCUUGAGGAAGUGCAUCUAACCAAGCUUUCGCUUGACCUUCUAAAGUAAAAGAUAUUAAUAACAAUUUGAUAACCUCUGCUAAAACACCAACAUACACAAUGGUGCUGCAAAUGUGCUCAAACUACCGGAGGAAAGCUAUGGGGUCCUCAUUUUGUUACUACCAAACCUGAUAUUUGAAGAAAUCCAUGUUAGCAACGGAUGGUUGAAUUCAAAAUAAGGACUUUGAAUAAUAGGUCGAGUAAUACUAAGGUUGUAACCAGUUCAUAUCAAAAGGAACUACCCCCUAGUGUCACGGGGCUAGACCUUUCGUCUCGCAAUCCUUACGGCCUUAGGCGAUUCGUUCGUCCAAACUCGCCCAAGUCAGCCUUAACUCAAGUGAGGAUUCUUUUAUAACUCCUCCAAGGCACCAAAUUAAAGAGCGGAAGUGAUUUUAUGCCAAAAAAAACAACAGAAAGUCACAGAAAAGAUUGCACACAAGGUGUUUGAGUAAAUGCUCUCUAUUUCUCUUAUUCACAAAGAAUAAUGAAACAAUGAAUGGAGUGAGUACAACUGAGGGGGAGGCUCUCUAUUUAUAAUUGAGCUCCCCUAAAAUCGACGGUCAAGAUACAUUUACAUCGAUGGAUGAGAUUUAACCAUAUCCCAUAAUUUUAGGAAUUUACAAGAUAAGCUUUAUCAAAUCUAAUCUAAUCUUUACAAGAUAUGACUCCCUCUAUCUUCUAAGAUUAGUUACCAUAUUAGCCUAAGUUGCCAUCUCUUCAUUAUCGGGCCAACUAGGCUUCAAUCUGACAGGCUUAUCCAAUAGCUCUUUGAAUCGGGCCAGUUCUCGUAGGCCAAAUGAUCCCCAUCUAAGCAAUAGACCUCCAUUGGAUGCAUUUGGUGCGAUGGUCACGGGCUUUGAACUACGGCCCGUGACAUUUUCCCCCACCCAUUCUCGCAACGUCCUCGUUGCGACUUUCGAAUGGCACUGACUUGAUUCUCCUCGGUCUCGUCUCGACGCCUUAGCCUUUCCCUUCCUUCGAGACUUUUGCUUCGGCUUACGUCGCUUCUUCACUCGAACCGUCCUACUCAUUUGUACAUCUCGAUGAUAAGAAGUUAUGUCACUCUCUUGUCCACAUUCUAACUUUGCUCGAACAGAAUCCUCUUGAUUCACCACACUUGGCUUGGCUUUGCCCACAGUCUCUCGGCCUCUUUGCUCAAGAACUUCGAAAGGGCCCCUACGUUCUUGCCAAGUCAACAAGUUAGAAUGCAAAACGCUAUCACAGUGUUCGAAAUGUACCUUCGCAUUUUCUCUGGUCAACUAUCCCACAUGCAUCACUUCCUUUUCCUUCAAGUCCGAUGCACCACCCACCUCUCCCAUA